GGCCGCGGGAAUUCGAUUCAGGCCUAACACGUGCAAGUCGAGCGGUAGAGAGAAGCUUGCUUCUCUUGAGAGCGGCGGACGGGUGAGUAAUGCCUAGGAAUCUGCCUGGUAGUGGGGGAUGACGUUCGGAAGCGGACGCUAAUACCGCAUACGUCCUACGGGAGAAAGCAGGGGACCUUCGGGCCUUGCGCUAUCAGAUGAGCCUAGGUCGGAUUAGCUAGUUGGUGAGGUAAUGGCUCACCAAGGCGACGAUCCGUAACUGGUCUGAGAGGAGGAUCAGUCACACUGGAACUGAGACACGGUCCAGACUCGUACGGGAGGCAGCAGUGGGGAAUAUUGGACAAUGGGCGAAAGCCUGAUCCAGCAAGGCCGCGUGU
rnacentral:rRNA from 1 species